rnacentral:rRNA from 1 species
UACGGAGGAUGCGAGCGUUAUCCGGAUUUAUUGGGUUUAAAGGGUGCGUAGGCUGUUCGUCAAGUCAGUGGUGAAAUGCCGGGGCUCAACCCCGGAGCUGCCAUUGAUACUGUCGGGCUUGAAUCCUGCUGCCGUGGGAGGAAUGAGUAGUGUAGCGGUGAAAUGCAUAGAUAUUACUCAGAACACCGAUUGCGAAGGCAUCUCACGAAACAGGCAUUGACGCUGAGGCACGAAAGCGUGGGGAUCAAAC